UUUUUUUUUUUUUACCUGCACUGCAGAUGUUGAUGGUUUAACUCUGCCUUUGUUUAAUCAGGUUUCACGCCAUGCUGGGUAGAGUUGGCCUCAGUUUACACCUGAGACCAAAAACUUGUUGCUGCUCUGGGUCAGGAUGAGCGUUUUGAGAUCUGUGAUUGAGCUGACUGAGAAAUCUGAAUACUGAACCAGCUGUGGAAGCCAGAUGCAAAAUUCAUUUACCCCAAUCUAUCAGAAGAAAAGCAAGAGCUUCUGUUAUCUGCUAUACGUGAAGUAGUUUAAAUGUGGGAGAACUGCGACAACCAAGUCUGCAAAACCUCCCUGUAACUUUAUCCAGUUUCAGCAAAGGGAGCAUUGCCACCUGUUCACACUUCGGGCAUUUUGGUUGAAAGGGAAAGAGGGAUUUGUUGCUGCGGAC
rnacentral:lncRNA from 1 species